rnacentral:lncRNA from 1 species
GUUAUACACCUAAGUUCCGCUUGAAAAGAGAGAAACGGUCUGGUGUUUCCUGCUAUUGGAGGUCUGGGACAUGAGGACAAACCAGCACAAAUUUCAUGGAAAUAGGAAGGUGCACAGGAGAUGACGGUGUUCUGGAAACUCAGUGGAGAAAAGACUUAAGGAGGAUAAAGUGACCCAGACUGUCAAAUGCUGCCGCCAGUUGAGUGAGCAGAGAACAGAGGACGGAGGAGCAGCACGGGUGAGACCCUGACCGAAGUGGCUUCAGCGAGAAUAGUGGAGAGAGACUGGAGACGGUCAGCAUGCACCAUUAUUUUGAAGGAUUUUGCUUUAAGGGGGAGCAGAGAAAACAGUCCUGUAGCCGGAAGCACAGAGGAGCGUUGUCUCAGGAUGCGAAAGAGCUGCUGAGGGAGGGAGGCUCCCUGAACACUUACCAAACGGAAACAAGAUGGCAGACCGACUGCCACCACUGAGUGCCACCCAACGUCCAAGCAAGACCCGAUCCUAAUCUUAGACAAGACUUUCCAGAGAACCAGUGAAGAGGAGACCCCGUCCAUGUCAUUUUAUGAGGCCGUCUAACCUCGAUGCCAAAACCUGACAAGGACACAAGGAAGGGAAAAUUAUAGGCCAAUCUCACACGUAAAUAUAAAUGCAAAAGUUUUACACACAGCUUUGGUGCAGGAUACCCUCGGUCUCAAUUAUUUGUUGCCCCAUCCUAUGGGAGAACGAUACUUCCACUCUCUGUGGGUAUCAGGCGUGGUUAAAGGACUUGCUUAAGCCGAUAAAAUGUGAGCAAAAGUGACCCACCUCCUUUUCAAGUGGAGGAUUCAGGAACCAUUGUGUGGCUCUGCCCUUAAUGCUUCUGUGCCCUGAACAGAUUGUCCUAGACGAGGUGAGGUCUGGUCUACCUGUCGGGGUUGCAGAACAAAGAAAAGGUCAUUUUGGUUUUGUGGGGCAUCUAGAGGAAGCGGUCCAACCGUAUGUAGGCUGCUAUUUUCUCCAAAGCCUCCAAACAGCCCAUGAAAGCCUUUGGAUUUGAAAAUCCAUCCAGGCUCUUGGGCUCAAAGAAGUGGUUCUGAUCUAGGACAUCAUCGAUGAGGAAAUC